UGGUAGAUAAACAGAAGUCAAAGGAUCACAAUGAGCACGACAAGCCAUGCAAAGGAUCUUGGACCUGAUCGUGGAGGAAAUGAGAAGGUGAAGAAACUAAUUUAUAAGUGAUGGAUGAACCAUCAUCUUAACUGGGAUCUAGGAGUUCAUCCUAGUAUCUGCCAAGUCACACAAUAUACCUGAAUCAGCUGACAUCCAGCAAAAAUCA